rnacentral:rRNA from 1 species
AGAGGGUGCAAGCGUUAAUCGGAAUUACUGGGCGUAAAGGGUGCGUAGGUUGGUAUAUAAGUUGGAUGUAAAAUCCCCGGGCUCAACCUGGGCAGGUCAUCCAAGACUGUAUAUCUAGAGUGCAGUAGAGGGAAGUGGAAUUUCCGGUGUAGCGGUGAAAUGCGUAGAUAUCGGAAGGAACACCAGAGGCGAAGGCGACUUUCUGGACUGUAACUGACACUGAGGCACGAAAGCGUGGGGAGCAAACAGGGAUUAGAUACCCUGGUAGUCCACGCUGUAAACGAUGAAAACUAGCCGUUGGGAGCCCAUGAGUUCUCAGUGGCGCAGCUAACGCAUUAAGUUUUUCCGCCUGGGGAGUACGGCCGCAAGGCUA